CCUACGGGUGGCAGCAGUGGGGAAUAUUGCACAAUGGGGGAAACCCUGAUGCAGCGACGCCGCGUGAGUGAAGAAGGAAUUCGUUACGUAAAGCUCUAUCAGCAGGGAAGAAACACUGACCUUACGGUCAGCAGACUGUACCUGAGUAAGAAGCCCCGGCUAACUACGUGCCCGCAGCCGCGGUAAUACGUAGGGGACAAGCGUUAUCCGGAUUGACUGGGUGUAAAGGGAGCGUAGACGGUGCGCCAAGUCUGGAGUGAAAGGCCGCAGCUUAACUGCGGAACUGCUUUGGAAACUGGCGAACUAGUGGGCGUGAUGGGUAAGCGGAAUUCCUAGUGUAGCUGUGAAAUGCGGAGAGAUUAGGAGGAACACCGGUGGCGAAGGCGGCUUACUGGACCGUAACUGACGUUGAGGCUCGAAAGCGUGGGGAGCAAACAGGAGUAGAUACCCUUGUAGUC
rnacentral:rRNA from 1 species